rnacentral:rRNA from 1 species
UACGUAGGGAGCAAGCGUUGUUCGGAUUUACUGGGCGUAAAGCGUGCGCAGGCGGCUUUGCAAGACAGAUGUGAAAUCCCCGGGCUCAACCUGGGAACUGCAUUUGUGACUGCAUGGCUGGAGUGCGGCAGAGGGGGAUGGAAUUCCGCGUGUAGCAGUGAAAUGCGUAGAGAUGUGGAGGAACACCGAUGGCGAAGGCAGCCCCCUGGGCCAACACUGACGCUCAGGCACGAAAGCGUGGGGAGCAAACAGG